rnacentral:other from 1 species
UACUUACUGGGGCGUUCGUGUCCACACAAUUUGAACCUACAAAUAUGACAUACGGGUUCCCAAUAUUUGUGAUAAAGAUAGCAUGCCUUCCGUCCGCGGUUAAGGAUCCUUGAGGUAUCCGUGAGGUUACCCACCUGGCUUAAUGCUAGGAGUCAAACGUGUGGUACGGCGUUUUGGUAAGUUG